rnacentral:rRNA from 1 species
GGAAUAUUGGUCAAUGGGCGCAAGCCUGAACCAGCCAUCCCGCGUGCAGGAAGACGGCCCUAUGGGUUGUAAACUGCUUUUCCAGGGGGAGAAACUUGCGCACGUGUUGCGAAAUUGACGGUACCCUGGGAAUAAGCAUCGGCUAACUCCGUGCCAGCAGCCGCGGUAAUACGGAGGAUGCGAGCGUUAUCCGGAUUCAUUGGGUUUAAAGGGUGCGUAGGCGGACUAUUAAGUCAGUGGUGAAAUCCUGCAGCUUAACUGCAGAACUGCCAUUGAUACUGAUAGCCUUGAGUUUGGUUAAGGUAGGCGGAAUGUGUAAUGUAGCGGUGAUAUGCUUAGAUAUUACACAGAACACCAAGAGCGUAGGCAGCUUACUGAGCCGACACUGACGCUGAGGCACGAAGGCGUGGGGAUCGAA